rnacentral:misc_RNA from 1 species
GCCGUCGGAGCCUCCUUGUUGUCAUGAAUCGGGUUCAGAUCCGCAGUGGUUGAUUUGAGUGAGGCUUGCAGCUGUAUCAAUGAAUCCGGUGGUACUGUCGAGAUUCCCGUGGUUGAUCUGAGAUUUCGUGAUCAAUUCCGCGGAUCCGUGGGCAAUCGAAGAUAGACCUUCAUCUCUCUUCGAUCUGAGUUUUCCAAAUCAUAUCUGCCGAUCUGUA